rnacentral:rRNA from 1 species
AGGAUGAACGCUAGCGGCAGGCUUAAUACAUGCAAGUCGAGGGGCAGCGGGGGUAGCAAUACCUGCCGGCGACCGGCAAACGGGUGCGGAACACGUACACAACCUUCCUUUAAGUGGGGGAUAGCCCAGAGAAAUUUGGAUUAAUACCCCGUAACAUUAUGAGAUGGCAUCAUUUCGUGAUUAAAGCUUUGGCGCUUAGAGAUGGGUGUGCGUCUGAUUAGGUAGUUGGUGAGGGUAACGCCACAAGCCUGCGAUCAGUAACUGGUGUGAGAGCACGGACCAGUCACACGGGCACUGAGACACCGGGCCCACUCCGUACGGGAGCAGCAAGGUAAGGAAUUAGUUGGUCAAAGUGGACGCAAGUCUAGAACCAGCCAUCGCCGCGUGGAGGAUGGAAGGUUCCUCGUGGAUUUAGUAAACUUUC